CCUACGGGCGGCAGCAGUGGGGAAUAUUGGACAAUGGGCGAAAGCCUGAUCCAGCCAUGCCGCGUGUGUGAAGAAGGCCUUCGGGUUGUAAAGCACUUUCAGUGGGGAAGAAAGCCUUGGGGCUAAUACCCUCGAGGAAGGACAUCACCCACAGAAGAAGCACCGGCUAACUCCGUGCCAGCAGCCGCGGUAAUACGGAGGGUGCGAGCGUUAAUCGGAAUUACUGGGCGUAAAGCGCGCGUAGGCGGUCUGAUAAGCCGGUUGUGAAAGCCCCGGGCUCAACCUGGGAACGGCAUCCGGAACUGUCAGGCUAGAGUGCAGGAGAGGAAGGUAGAAUUCCCGGUGUAGCAGUGAAAUGCGUAGAGAUCGGGAGGAAUACCAGUGGCGAAGGCGGCCUUCUGGACUGACACUGACGCUGAGGUGCGAAAGCGUGGGUAGCAAACAGGAUUAGAUACCCCUGUCGUC
rnacentral:rRNA from 1 species